GACGAACGCUGGCGGCGUGCUUAACACAUGCAAGUCGAACGAUGAAACCUAGCUUGCUAGGUCGAUUAGUGGCGAACGGGCGAGUAACACGUGACUAACCUGCCCCUUUCUCUGGGAUAACGCUCCGAAAGGAGUGCUAAUACCGGAUACUCACACCGAGGCACAUGCCUUGGUGUGGAAAGUUUUUCGGAAAGGGAUGGAGUCGCGGCCUAUCAGCUUGUUGGUGAGGUAACGGCUCACCAAGGCGACGACGGGUAGCCGGCCUGAGAGGGGGACCGGCCACACUGGGACUGAGACACGGCCCAGACUCCUACGGGAGGCAGCAGUGGGGAAUAUUGCACAAUGGGCGCAAGCCUGAUGCAGCGACGCCGCGUGAGGGAUGAAGGUCUUCGGAUUGUAAACCUCUUUCAGUAGGGACGAAGCGAAAGUGACGGUACCUAAAGAAGAAGCACCGGCUAACUACGUGCCAGCCGCCGCGGUAA
rnacentral:rRNA from 1 species